rnacentral:rRNA from 1 species
UACAGAGGUGCUCAAGCGUUGUUCGGAUUCAUUGGGCGUAAAGGGUGUGUAGGUGGCGCCGUAAGUCGGGUGUGAAAUUUCGGAGCUUAACUCCGAAACUGCAUUCGAUACUGCGGUGCUUGAGGACUGGAGAGGAGACUGGAAUUCAUGGUGUAGCAGUGAAAUGCGUAGAGAUCAUGAGGAAGACCAGUGGCGAAGGCGGGUCUCUGGACAGUUCCUGACACUGAGGCACGAAGGCCAGGGGAGCAAACGGG